UGAGUCUAUCCAUCACUCAAAAUGCUAUAACUGAAUUAAGAGAUUUAGUCCUACUAUAUCUUACAUAUAAGAUUAUUCCAAAUUCUUGAAUUGUCACAUUCCUUCUCUUUUUAAACCCUGGCGUUCUCGUCAAGCUCAACGACACUCAUAAGCACUAAGCGAUGUGAGACUCAUCUCGCUAGCUUAGCCGACCUUAUGGAGAGCCCCGCUUCACGCACAACAGUCAUCAACUGGAUAUCCACGCUCCAUUCGACGUAUGAUGCUAGCUCAGUCGGCGACUCGGCUGGUGAUUAGUUCUGAUACCAAUUGUGACACCCCACUUCACAAAGGUCCUCUAUCCUAGAACUAUGUACUCUAAUCUUAAUAUGCUUAACCUUUUUAACCUCAUGAGUUUAGCUACCGCUCAAAAUAUUAUAGCCGAGUUAAGAAUUUUAGUCCUAUUAUAUCUUAUAUAUAAGACUAUGCCAAAUUCUGAAAGUGUUACACUGGUCACUUAUUUUUGAUACU
rnacentral:lncRNA from 1 species